rnacentral:rRNA from 1 species
AGAACGAACGCUGGCGGCAUGCCUAACACAUGCAAGUCGAACGAGACCUUCGGGUCUAGUGGCGCACGGGUGCGUAACGCGUGGGAAUCUGCCCUUGGGUUCGGGAUAACAGUUGGAAACGACUGCUAAUACCGGAUGAUGUCUUCGGACCAAAGAUUUAUCGCCCAAGGAUGAGCCCGCGUAGGAUUAGCUAGUUGGUGAGGUAAGAGCUCACCAAGGCGACGAUCCUUAGCUGGUCUGAGAGGAUGAUCAGCCANACUGGGACUGAGACACGGCCCAGACUCCUACGGGAGCAGCA